UCAAUAUCAAUUUUCAGAAUACAUUCACAAACAUUUUUUAACUUGUUCUUAUAACCAUCUCACAAAUAGAAUAUGAAAGAUGAUUGUUUCUGUAGUGUAGAUAAAGCAGUGAUAAUCAGAGUGGUUAGUGCUCUUGCCUUGGGCCUCAUAGCUGUGAGUGACAAAGUCAACAGUAGAACACGUGUAUUUUGAUCCAUUGUCCAGUGUUUUCUCUACCACAUUGUUCCUUAACAUCUGACAAAAUAAAGGAAUUUUCCAAAUCACCUCAAAUGUAUUAGUACAUUAAAAUUGGGGGUUAAGAAAAUAUGAAAAAUGUAUUCAGUCAAUGCAAAUAUUUCUUUACUUCAGAGAGUUUCAAAGACCAGUAUAUGCGUAAAGCUAGGUCAAUCAUAUGUUUAAAAAUGAUAAAUGAAACAUGACUCAGAAAAGGGGCCUAUGCCACCACCAUGCAAUAUUCAUAAUUUUAUUAAUAGCCAGUCAUGCAUAUCAGAAUUGUGAUUUUAUUCACAUUGUACUCAGAUAUGCAAAUAAAUUUAUUGCCUCAAUUACUAGAGGUAACAUAAUCUUCCUAAGCCCUCUUGGUAACAAGGAACCUUGCAAUUGUUGAUUAACAAAAUCUCAGUCUCUUCUACAUUAAACAGUCUCCUUCAACUCAAAUACCUGGACUAUUUGAAGUUUAGCUCUGUGUUUAGCCUAGUUUAAAUGCAUCUUUUGGAUGGCUUAGAGUUUUAGGAAAAUGAUCAGUCUUUGAGAGUUUGGGCACCUCACCCUUCUCUGUUCAGAAGACAUCUGACUGGGUGAGGGAAUGUGUACCAUCCCCACAGAGGGCUGGGGUGGGCACUGGUGCAGCAGAAAGAGACCUGGGACUCCUGCCUGGUCUCUGCUGGGGUGAGGCUCCUCUGGUCUGCUCUUGCGUGGGUGACUGAUCUCGCUUUUGGGAGUUCUCCUUUGAAAGUGCGGCUCUCCCUAGUCUUUUUAGAGAAAGAAAUUCACUCUCCUUGGUCUUCUUAGAGACCUUGUAUAUGUGUCCAGAUGUUUCUACAAGCCCCUACCCCUCCCUGAGAAUGGAUUUUGAGGGUGAGAGGCUUCAAACUGGGCAAGGAACAUGGCAAAAGAACACUGCCAUCUGAUCUUGCUAACCCUAUUCCCUCCUCCCCCUCAAUCCACUAAAAAAGUGAACUUUUCUUUUAUUUCCCUAUUCUUUUUUGCCAAAAUUUCUCUCUCACGUCCCUUCUCAGAUUACAGAUUCAUGAUUCAAUCCCAGGACCAAACACAGGGAAAAAUACCCAAUAAUGGAAUGGAGGCAUAAAAAAUCUAGUGUACCCAUUACAGAUAUAUAAGCAUUUAAGUAUGUCUCCCAAGUGGGUAUGAUUCCAGGACUGAGACAGGCUGUGUUCUGACAGUAUUAUUCUCAAAAGACAGCUCUUCCAUCCUGCUGGUAUUUGAAGGAAAAGGAAAGGCAUUAUUUGCAGUGUUCUUAUGAGUAUUUGAUAUUUUAGCCACUAGGCCCCUCUCAGUAGUCAAAAGCAUUUAAGUUCAGUCAAAGUUCACUGAAAUCUAACUGAGCAAACAAACAAAAAGAGAGGCAGAUCACUCCACCCCCACCAUCACACCAUUCUGGCACAUAGAACAUGAUCAUGUGUGAUAAACACGUGCACGGGAGACAUCUUGACUUCGUCAUCCAGGAUAUAAAGUGAUUAAACAGUAGCAAAUUUCUUUGCUCCCGAGUUGGCUCUCCUGCACCCUGAAGAUUCCAUAUAUUCAUUUAUACAAACAAGUCCCAUUUGGUAUUUACUAUCAUACAUUUUAAGCAUGAACUAUAUACCAUAUUCACUAAUUCCAUAAUUCAUAAUUAGAAACUGAAAGUUAUUUGACCAUAUGCAGAUACCCUUACAAACCAAAAUUGAGUUAGAGAAAGGCCCAUAUGCCCAAAGCAGCAUCAUGCUGUUAUCUUUUCACACCCUUAAUUUCCAUCUCUUCUAACAUUCUCUUCCCUGCGCAUAAACAAAAUUGAGGCCAAAGAGUAAUUAUUAUUUCACAGGUAAUUUGUAAGACUUUUCAGAGUCAAAAAAGAAAGCAAAAUAUUAAUUAAACUAAUUAUCAUAAAGUCAAAUCAUGCAAAUAGAACAAAGAUUAGAUAAACUAUUGGAAACUUUGUUUGAAGCAAAGAAAGGCAUUGCAUAGUUGAAACACAGUGAGAAAGAGGAAAGAAAAUUUCAGGUAGUUAUGAGCUUAUAUCCUAACAUAACCUUUGACUUACUGGACAUAAUAUUGAGUCUUUAUCCAAUUAAAUAUCUGCAGCACACAGGUUGAAAGAGAGCCUUAAACUUUAAAUAGUAAAAUAUGUUUCUAAGAAGUUCUGGUCCUUUGGAAGGAGGAAAACAAUUCUAUGCUCACCCUUAACCAUAAAAGGCAGUUGCACUUCGUGGUAUGAAUAGUUCUGAAAGGUGAUUUAACUGCAGGAUCAAACAGCUCUAGGCUAUUAUUUUCUUUGCUGGAUUUUUUUACUUUGGGAGCAGACUUUUAAAGUAUUUCAAGGAAGUACUUAUUCUCAUAUAUCCUGGAUAAAAUUAAGGCAGUUACAGAAUGCGAAUUAAUUUUCUUAGCUAGCUUAGGCUACCAUAACAAAAUACCAUAGACUGAGUGGUUUAAACAACUGAAAUUUGUUUUCUUACAGCUCUAGUUGCUGGAAAGUUCAAGAUCAAGGUCCAGCAGGAUUCAGUUUCUGGAGAGCUGAAGUUGCAGGGCAAGCAAAUGCUCUGAGUUCCAAAGAGUGACAAGCUCUGUGAGGAGAAACAGUACACACAAAUUUUCACCUUUGGCAAGACAUGAGAGGAUGAGAUGGUCACCGUAGAAGUGGGUAGAAUCCAAAGAUAGUCUGAGAGCAAUCAAAGGUUGUGGUGAGGAACAUGGAUGUUGAAAUGGUGGAAACAUGGGUAUGACAGCCGAUUCUGCCCCUCACUAGCUCUGUAAUUUGCGUAAGUUAAUCAGCCUUACUAGAUAUGGUUCAGUUGAAGUAACAUGAAAUCAUUUGAUAAUUAUUGAACAUCCAUUUGUACUCGGCACCAUUCUAGGUGCUAGAAAUUCAGCAAUGAACAAGACAGACAAGAUCUAUGAUAUCAUGGGGCUUAAAUUACAGUUGUCAGGGCAGGGAAAACAAUAACAAGAAAGCAACUAAGAUAAUUUUAUAUAUUUAUAUGAUAGGUAGUAAGAAAUAAAAGUAAGAUGUGUUAAGGAGAGCCUGGGACACUCUUCAGAUGAGAUAUUGUGGAAGCAUCUCUGAGGAGGAGAUUUUUGAGGCGAAACCAGAGGAAAAUCCUCCUGUGUGACAAUCAGGAGGCAGAAUGUUCCAAACUGAGGAAAUAUGCAUUUCAUUAGAAACCUAUGAGGAUUAUAAAAAUGAUUGUACAAAGGGCUUAACAUAGUAGCUGAUACAUAGAAAAUAUUCUACAAUCAGUAACUCUAAUCAAAAGGAAAAUAUUUGCUUAUCAAUGAUCUCUAUAACACAUAUAAUUUCUAUAUGGAAUAUCUUUGAACAUAAAAAUCACAUAGUAUAUAAUUUACAUCCUUCUGCUCAUCUCUUUGAGAUGGAUUAUUAAGAGCUGAACAAUAUAUAAUAUUGAUGGCAUUCUUGAAAUUCUGGCUAUUAAUCCCAGAAAACAAUAUAGGGGUAAAAAACCCAUAUGACUAGAAAGGCAAAGAUUGAAGAGGCAAAGAGAAAAAUAAAUAUCAUGGAAAGGAAAAGGAAAAAAAGAGGAAAUGGUUCUAGAUCAGGAGAGAAAUAAGGAAGAGGAUUUUAGGAAUUGUGGUCAAAAGAGGAUCCAUGAGGUAGAGUCCAGUCUAUGUUUAUCCACUAACUCACUCUAUGUGAAAAGAAGGAAGAAAAGUAAAAGGCGUGUGUUUGUGUACGUGAGUGUAGCCUAAUAUGGCCAGAUAUCUUUAGUAUAUUAUCUGAUUUAUCACUUACAACAGUCUUAUUUGAACUACUUGUACUCCAUUUAACAACUGAGCUUACAUAUUUAAAGGACCUUAGAAAACUCAUUUUCCUAACAUGUAUAACUAGAAUUGAUUAGAUGAUCUCAAAUCUUCCCAUAUAGUUCUAAAAGUCCAUGAUUCUGAUAAUAGGAAAAGAAAAUUAUCUAUGUAUAAAGAUGAUGAAUAUAAAGGUUCUAAAAAAUAGUUGGUCAUAUGACCUGUCAAUCUUUAUAAAGACAGGCUUCAAGAAUAUUUAACUAGGAACUGCAGUCCUAAAAACAUGAAAUUCAGUCUCUUGGGAGAUGGGUGAAGAAUGAAAUAUUCAGACAGGGAAGACCUGGAAAGAGGCCCUAGAGAUUUGGGGGGAAAUCUGAAUAGCCAUCCAAACUAAUCAAGUUUUAUCCAAACCAAAUAUCCAGGCCUUUUGAAGUUUGCCAGUUACUAAUCAAAAACCCAGUAAGUGCUUAGUAUCUCAGUUUUAAAUAACAUCAAACCAACUAUCAUGUAAUAUAACAAAUAAAGCCAAAUAUGGAUUUUCUCUUAGAGCUGCACAGACACACAAAAAAUGUGUCUGAAGUAGCUCUAGUCAAGUAAGAAUUUAAGAUAAUUUUAAUUACUCUUAUGUUAUUGUACUCUUGAAAACAUCCCAGUGAUUUUUUAAAGGGUUAAGAAAACCAGCUUUCCAUAAAAACUGAAUUAUUAAUGAUAACUAUCUGGAAAAUGAAUAGUUAAGACUUUGAAAGUAUUGUUUAACACUCUAUUGCAAACAAUAUAAAAAUAAAUUAAGGUUUACUAAUGAUGAAAUGAAAGUCUCAAUUGUCCAAAAUUCUUAUGUCUUGUAGGGCUAGAUAGAGAAAUUUUGAACCUGAAGUAAAUUAAUAGUACUGCUUUGAUCUUAAUGCAUUUUAUUCUCUCAAAAUUAUAAUAUUUUGUCACAAUCAGAAGCUGUGAUAUCAAUCAGCAUUCUGCAACUAUGGUGUAAAUCAGCUGUUGGCCAACUUUCUUGAAAAAAAUCUUCAAAAUAUCCACAAAAUUAUGGAAGUAUUACAAGAUAAUGUUAACAUCUUUUAUUGAUUUAAUUUGACAUGAAAUAAAUAUAUUACCACAA